GAUGAAGAACGUAGCGAAAUGCGAUAAGUAAUGCGAAUUGCAGAAUUUCCGUGAGUCAUCGAAUCUUUGAACGCACAUUGCGCCCGGCAGUAAUCUGCCGGGCAUGCCUGUCCGAGCGUCAUUUCUGCCCUCGAGCCUGUCCAGCAUCUAGGUGCUGUUCCGGCCCGGCGUUGGGGCACUACGGGAAGCCUCGUGCUAUCCCCCGUAGGCCCCGAAAUGAAGUGGCGGUCCUGCCGCGGCUCCCCCUGCGUAGUAUUACAGCUCGCUUCGGGACCCGGUGGAGGCCUGCCGUCAAACCUUACUCUCUAAGUUUGACCUCGGAUCAGGUAGGGUUACCCGCUGAACUUAAGCAUAUCAAUAAGCGGAGGA
rnacentral:misc_RNA from 1 species